rnacentral:lncRNA from 1 species
UUUUUUUUUUCUUAUCUAUAAAUGUUUCUUCUAUGUGGAAAAUGUGACAGCCAAUAGACUUUCCUUAUCCAUCUAACUGAUAAAGCAGAUGCUGUGAUAUACAUCUUCAAGAUUUUCAGGGUGAUUAGAGGAAUAGCUGACACCCAGAAUUUCUCCAUGAAGGUCUCUGGGGUUCCCAGAGGCAGAUUCAGCAAGCAUCUGAGUUCUAGGAAGUUCCCCAUUCCCUUUUUUGACACUUAAUGCAAAUGGGUAUCUGUUCUACUAGGAGCUAUGAACAUAGAAUGCGGUAGUUACCUUUCUAUUACUGUGAUAAAAUACCAUGACCAAAGCAACGCAGAGGAAAUAGCAUAUAUUGGGGCCUACGGUUCUAGAGGGUGAGAGUCCAUCUGCGGUGGCACAGCAAAGGCAGGGACAGGAUAUGAAGGAUCACAUUUCGAUCUGCAAACACAAUGAGAAGGGGUACGGGGAGCUAGAAAUGACUCAGGUCCCUUUACUCUCAAAGCUUACUAAUGACACACUUCCUUCAAAAGUCCAAACCUCAUAAAUGUCCCCCAAACUGCACCAGGAGACCAAGCAUUCAAAUGCCUCAGGUCAUGGGGACUAUUUCUCAUUCAAACCACCAUAGAUGUUCUGAGCCCUUUCCGGCCCAAUUUCUUGCAGAAUUCCUCAUGUAAUACAACAUAGCCUUUCACUAGCAUAUGCUUCAGUGAUGGUUAUCUUAGAACCCCUUGGCCCCAACCUGCCUGGGACUAAGUAUGGCACUUGUGAACUUGGGCCUGUGGAAGGAUGCUGCACUCUCCCUUCGGGCCCUCUUGAACUCAUUUGUCCCAGUCAGAAGGUUAAGUUUCCUUAAGCCAUCACAUUGCCAGUGAUCUGCCAGCCACUGCUGGUCUAGGAGCUGCUUGAAUGUCAGCUCCUGCCUGGCACACCUGGAAUAGGCACACUUCAGCUGUUGCAAGGCAGAGCCUGUGGCUGGGAUAGCACCUGGAGCCGUUGUGAAGCCUAAUACCUCCCCCCUUGACUCUUCCUGGAUCCAGUGGCAGGUGGCUGGUGGUUGGUGGCUGGCAGCUGGCAGCUGGUGCCUGGUGGCUGGCAGCGUAUACGGGGUUGGCAUACCUGCCAGCUGGGUCUUUGAUCAUGAUGGCGCUGUCCACCCAGCCCAGCACAUUAGAGAACACAAAAGCUUCAAAAAGCCGCACAAAGAACCACCAAGGAAUUGCAGGAAGUAUGUCUGUUGUUUCCUGGCUACAAGUCUGGAGUGUGGGAGGAUCCUUGGCAUGGGUGACUGGUAGCAUGGCAGUUGUGGACACAGCACUGACCUUGAAAUUCAGCAGAGCCUUUGGCCUUUUGGAAGCCUCUGCUGCUCACACUGUACACUGACUUAAGGGCAAGUUACUCAGAGUAAAUUGGUGCAGUUCAAAUACCUAUCAAGUGUGUUUCUUUAAGAACAACAGCAAUAACUAGAAGCAGCAGGUAAUAUUUAUUGAGCAUUUGUUGUGACUUGGAGUCCCAGAGUCCCAAUACCUGGGCUUAACUUAAACCUUUCCAAACACCAGGUUCACCUGUAUUCUGUAAAGACAAGACAGCGGUCAUUUCCUUGUCAUGGUGGCUAUGAACUGUGAAUGAAAAGGUCUCCAAACACUGCCAUGUCUCCCUGACAAGAGAAGAUCCUGUGGUUUAACCCACUGAUAUCCAACACAUCCAACAGUAGCAUGCUCUCUACUGUAUCCCGUUCCUUCCUCUGCAGAACACUUUAUGUUAUAUACAUGGAUCUGUCAAUGUAAGGUUCUGACAUGAGUUGCUAGGAUGAUCAAGUCCUGGUCAGUACC